UGUUAAAAAUUUUAUCAAUUUGUAUUGUUAAAAACUGGCAUGAUUGACGGAAUAACUAGAUAGUAUCUCUUACUGAUAUACAGGGAUCAAUUUUUAACAGUAAGAAUGAAUGAAAUUUUUAAUU
rfam:Gossypium hirsutum cultivar TM-1 unplaced genomic scaffold scaffold666.1, whole genome shotgun sequence